GUCUACAUAGCGAGUUCCAGAUUGCUUGAUCUGUUGAUUCCUGAGCAAGAACAUUAUUUUCUUACGAAAUACAACACACAUGGAAAUAUAACAUAG